AGUGCAGCGGCCUAGCACGCGGCCCUCUCAAGGCUGAAACGGCGGUUCGAAUCCGCUC
rnacentral:tRNA from 1 species